AACGUAGGUGGCAAGCGUUGUCCGGAAUUACUGGGUGUAAAGGGAGCGCAGGCGGGUCUGCAAGUUGGAAGUGAAACCCAUGGGCUCAACCCAUGAACUGCUUUCAAAACUGUGGAUCUUGAGUGGUGUAGAGGUAGGCGGAAUUCCCGGUGUAGCGGUGGAAUGCGUAGAUAUCGGGAGGAACACCAGUGGCGAAGGCGGCCUACUGGGCACUAACUGACGCUGAGGCUCGAAAGCAUGGGUAGCAAACAGG
rnacentral:rRNA from 1 species